GUGGAAGUUGUUAUAAUCCCAAUAGCCUGGAAGGUCAUGCAUCAUAUGCCUUCAAUAGCUACUUUCAAAAAAAUCCUGCACAAACGAGCUGUGAUUUUGGGGGUGCUGCCAUGAUAACCAACUCAAACCCAAGCACUGGUUCUUGUGUUUUCCCUGCAUCGGGGUCUUCUUUGUCAUCGCCUACAACAACUACCACGCCAAUGUCUGGAACUCCAGCGCCAACAACAUCCUCAUCAACUGGUGCAGCAAUACCAGGCUUAGCACCUCCAACAGUGACAAAUGGUAACGACUCAGGUUUUGGAAUGAUGCCCUCGGGCAUAGGUGAUAGUAUUCCUCCAACUACUACUACUUCACUGUCCAUGUCAAAUGAAUUGCAACCCCUAG
rnacentral:misc_RNA from 1 species